rnacentral:misc_RNA from 1 species
AGAAGCUCAGCUUAUCUAUCACAAAUCACAAGCUCUCGCUUGCUUCUUCAUCAUCAUCAAUGGCGAAGGAUCCCGUCCGAGUUCUCGUCACCGGCGCCGCAGGGCAAAUCGGAUAUGCUCUGGUACCUAUGAUUGCCAGGGGAGUGAUGCUGGGUCCUGAUCAACCUGUUAUCUUGCACAUGCUGGAUAUCCCCCCAGCUGCAGAAUCUCUGAAUGGAGUUAAAAUGGAGUUGGUUGAUGCAGCAUUUCCUCUUCUUAAAGGGGUCGUUGCCACCACCGAUGUUGUCGAGGGCUGUACGGGGGUCAAUAUUGCAGUCAUGGUUGGUGGUUUUCCCAGGAAAGAGGGAAUGGAAAGGAAAGAUGUGAUGACAAAAAAUGUCUCUAUUUACAAAUCUCAAGCUUCCGCACUCGAGAAGUAUGCUGCUCCUAAUUGCAAGGUACUGGUUGUGGCUAACCCUGCAAACACCAAUGCCUUGAUCUUGAAGGAGUUUGCUCCAUCUAUCCCCGAAAAGAACAUAACCUGCUUGACAAGGCUAGAUCAUAACAGGGCUCUGGGUCAGAUAUCUGAGCGACUCAAUGUUCAAGUCAGUGAUGUUAAGAAUGUGAUCAUAUGGGGAAAUCAUUCUUCCUCUCAGUAUCCUGAUGUGAACCAUGCAACCGUAAAAAUAUCAGGGGAGGAAAAGCCUGUCCGAGCUCUUGUUGCCGAUGAUGCUUGGCUUAAUGGAGAAUUCAUCACCAUUGUUCAACAACGUGGUGCUGCAAUCAUCAAGGCGCGGAAGCUCUCAAGUGCAUUAUCUGCUGCUAGCUCUGCAUGUGAUCACAUACGUGAUUGGGUCCUUGGCACUCCGGAGGGAACCUGGGUUUCCAUGGGUGUGUACUCUGAUGGUUCAUACAGUGUGCCUGCUGGUCUGAUUUAUUCUUUCCCAGUGACUUGCCGUAAUGGCGAGUGGACCAUUGUGCAAGGACUUCCCAUUGAUGAGUUUUCGAGGAAGAAGCUGGAUGCAACUGCGGAUGAGCUGUCUGAGGAGAAGACUCUGGCAUACUCAUGCCUUAAUUAAGUUGUGAUGCCGAGUUUUUAUGGAUUAUGUUCUCUUUCGAAGAUCUGAUUUUCUUGGUGAGGGAAGACCAUGGCAUGCGAGACAAGUUUAUGAAUAAAACUACUAGUGUGGAAACAGUAGAAUAUCAUCUCAUGGUGGUGUUACAUUUUGAAUUUCCGUCUCUUCACCCAUUUGCUCAUAAAUUUUUAACUGUACUGGUUUAGCCUUGAGACAUUUUCAAUGGAUGUGUAGACUUUUAUAGUCUUGUUUUGAAAUUUUAGAGGUUUCUCA